GGGGAUAUAGCUCAAUUGGUAGAAUGCUUGCCUCACAUGCACAAGUCCCUGGGUUCAAUCCCAAGUACCCCCC
rfam:Ictidomys tridecemlineatus contig081977, whole genome shotgun sequence.